UCCUUAUAUUGCUUGACAACCGGCCAUGGUUGCUAGAUCAGGAUACAAAACCUUGCUCAUCUAUGGUAAUUGAUGGUUACUAAGUUAAGGUUUCCCCUCUCACCAACUCUAGGACUAGGAAAAAGAGGGAUGAAACUGAUUCUUGGUGUUUCGUAUAAUGCCUUGAACAAGUAUCUUCCUC